rnacentral:rRNA from 1 species
UAGGGAAUCUUCGGCAAUGGACGGAAGUCUGACCGAGCAACGCCGCGUGAGUGAAGAAGGUUUUCGGAUCGUAAAGCUCUGUUGUUAGAGAAGAACGUUGGUAGGAGUGGAAAAUCUACCAAGUGACGGUAACUAACCAGAAAGGGACGGCUAACUACGUGCCAGCAGCCGCGGUAAUACGUAGGUCCCGAGCGUUGUCCGGAUUUAUUGGGCGUAAAGCGAGCGCAGGCGGUUCUUUAAGUCUGAAGUUAAAGGCAGUGGCUUAACCAUUGUACGCUUUGGAAACUGGAGGAAUUGAGUGCAGAAGGGGAGAGUGGAAUUCCAUGUGUAGCGGUGAAAGGCGUAGAUAUAUGGAGGAACACCGGUGGCGAAAGCGGCUCUCUGGUCUGAAACUGACGCUGAGGCUCGAAAGCGUGGGGAGCAAACAGG